AAAAAGCUCCUUGCGUGUUUCUCCACCGCUUCCCUCUGGCACGUUAGACUCAUCACCCAACUGCCUUCACUACCUUUCUUCCCUCCUAAAACAAACAAAUGCUCUCUUCUUUCCCAACUUACGCUUUCAUUUUCUUUCCCUUUAUCCUACAUCCAUCCCCAACUUAUCUACCCGUAUGGCAACCCCGCAGUCCUACUCCGCUACCGCCACACAGCGCGUUGCUCUGCCCCGCUGGAGCAAGGAGGAAACCCUGGUGUUGAUUGAGGCUUACA
rnacentral:lncRNA from 1 species